UGGGCAGAUUGAAGGUUAGGUAACACUAACUGGAGGAUCGAACUGACUAAUGUUGCAAAAUUAGCGGAUGACUUGUGGCUAGGAGUGAAAGACUAAUCAAACCGGGAGAUAGCUGGUUCUCCCCGAGAGCUAUUUAGGUAGCGCCUUAUGAAUUCAUCUUUGGGGGUAGAGCACUGUUUUGGCUAAGGGUCCAUCUUGGAUUACUAAACCAAUGCAAACUACGAAUACUAGAGAAUGUUAUCAUGGGAGACACACGAUGGGUGCUAACGUCCAUCGUGAAAAGGGAAACAACCCAGACCGCCAGCUAAGGUCCCAAAAUCAUAAUUAAGUAAAACGAUGUGGGAAGUCAUAAACAACCAGGAUGUUGGCUUAGAAGCAGCCAUCAUUUAAAGAAAGCGUAAUAGCUCACUGGUCGAGUCAUCCUGCGCGGAAAAUGUAACGCAGCUAAAUUAUGUACCGAAGCUGCGGCAACAAUAUUUCAUAUAUUGUUGGGUAGGGGAGCGUUCUGUAAGCCAAUGAAGGUAUAUUGUAAAGUAUACUGGAGGUAUCAGAAGUGCGAAUGCUGACAUAAGUAACGAAAAAGCGGGCAAAAAAACCCGCUCGCCGAAAAACUAAGGUUUCCUGUUCAACGGUAAUCGAAGCAGGGUAAGUCGGCUCCUAAGGCGAGGUCGAAAGGCGUAGUCGAUGGGUAACAGGUUAAUAUUCCUGUACUAGAUGUAACUGCGAAGGGGGUACGAAGAAAGCUAAGUUCGCCAGGUGACGGUUAUCCUGGUUUAAGCAUGUAGGUGAAAAAGCAGGUAAAUCCACUUUUUAAAACACUAAGAUGUGAUGACAAACCAAUAAUAUUGGUAAAGGAAUUGAUGCUCUGCUUCCAAGAAAAGCCUCUAAGCUUCAGGUUACAUGUAAUCGUUACUUAA
rnacentral:rRNA from 1 species